rnacentral:misc_RNA from 1 species
GUGAAUCAUCAAAUUUUUGAACGCAUAUUGCACUCUCUGGUAUUCCGGAGAGCAUGCCUAUUUGAGGGUCAUUUGAAAUAAUAUAAAUUCCAAGAUUUCUCGGAAUUUAAAAUGGGUUUUCAUUUUUUUGUGUUGGCUUAAAAUCAAGACCAACCUCAUUUUCUUGGUUUCCGUGUUACUUUAGUUAACCU